UACGUAGGGGGCGAGCGUUGUCCGGAAUUAUUGGGCGUAAAGGGCGCGCAGGCGGUCUGUUAAGUCUGAUGUAAAAGGCCAGGGCUUAACCCUGGUGCGCAUUGGAAACUGGCAGACUUGAGUGCAGGAGAGGGGAGUGGAAUUCCAUGUGUAGCGGUGAAAUGCGUAGAGAUAUGGAGGAACACCAGUGGCGAAGGCGGCUCUCUGGCCUGCAACUGACGCUGAGGCGCGAAAGCGUGGGGAGCAAACA
rnacentral:rRNA from 1 species